rnacentral:misc_RNA from 1 species
ACCCAAGAGUGUGAAUAUCAAACUAGUAGGGCUACAAGCUGAAUUGGACUUGAAACUUGGCUCACAUCACCAAAAUGUCUUGUUUGAUUUAGUUUGCCAAUACUUAUAUGCCCUUUAAUUCUCUUGUAUGUUGUCGAUGUAGGACUUAUUCCCAUAAGCCAUAUUCCAACACUCUCCAAUUUGUGCAAACUUCUUGUUGAAUGGUUGUUUUCCUGUUUAGUUGAAAACUUGUUUUCCUAUUUAGUUGAAUUAGUUAUAUAAUCUCUUGUAUUUUGCUUAACUAUAUUUUAUUUCCAUUCUAGUUGAGGUUAUCUGUGUAAGAAUCAUUUUUUUUUUCCUAUUAAGUGUGGAGCUAGAUCUUUUGUAAGAUCCAAGGACUUUAAAUAAUUCUUACUGUAGUCAAUGUUCUCCAUGCACUACAUUAGUCUUCUUCCUGUUAUAUAUCAGCCCAUCUAUAGGUGCAGGUUGAAUGUGACCAAACCAUUUCAAUUGACUGACCUUCAGCUUAUCCUAAAAAGCACUCACAUAAGAUUAUAGAAUAUUGGUAUUGUCACGUUUCCUUUCACCUCAUUAAUCAACAACCUAAUCAAUCAUCAUUGAAUGGCAUUUAUGUGCUUGUUGUGCAUCUAUUAUUGGUACUAAAAACUAUGCUCAUGGGCUUACAAUGCUUAAAUGAGAGAGGGAGACAUUGCAAAAUGCAGCUUCAUAUUCAACAUAUUUAUUUAAAUCUUUUAGCGCAAAUGGGCACGCACUUGAAAUGCAAUCUGAUGUUGAUCCUCUCCUUGCCAUUACUCUUAGAAUUAUGAUUAUCACUCUCCUAUUUUUUCUCUGAGCUAAAAGUUAGUCACCGGAGCGAUGAGUUGGGUCUCUACAUCAUACUUUUUAUUGACUUUUUUUUUUCACAACAAUUGGCUUAGUGUAAAUCCUAAAUGAACCCUCCACUAACUUUUUUCUUUUUUUUAAAAGAAAAAAAUUAAAAAUAAAGGGCAAUAAGAGAUGCUUAGUGUAGAAAUUAUCUAAAUAGAAUUGCUGCAGUGAUAGUAUCAUGCCAUUUAAAUGAAUAUUGAAAAACAUUUUUUUGAACUAUCCAACUUAUUUGAAAUGAUUUUCUUUUCUUCUUUUAACCUAUGUAACAUUUUUUGAAAUAAUUUCUCCAUACUAAUCAAGUUUUAACUAUCCAACUUAUUUGAAAUGAUUUUCUUUUCUUCUUUUAACCUAUGUAACAUUUUUUGAAAUAAUUUCUCCAUACUAAUCAAGUUUU